UACGAAGGGGGCUAGCGUUGCUCGGAAUCACUGGGCGUAAAGCGCACGUAGGCGGAUUGUUAAGUCAGGGGUGAAAUCCUGGAGCUCAACUCCAGAACUGCCUUUGAUACUGAAGAUCUUGAGUUCGGGAGAGGUGAGUGGAACUGCGAGUGUAGAGGUGAAAUUCGUAGAUAUUGGGAAGAACACCGGUGGCGAAGGCGGCUCACUGGCUCAUAUCUGACGCUCAGGCGCGACAGCGUGGGGAUCAAACAGG
rnacentral:rRNA from 1 species